UACGGGGGGGGUAAGCGUUGUUCGGAAUUACUGGGCGUAAAGGGCUCGUAGGCGGCCAACUAAGUCAAACGUGAAAUCCCUCAGCUUAACUGGGGAACUGCGUCUGAUACUGUGCGGCUAGAGUGCGGAAGGGGCAACUGGAAUUCUUGGUGUAGCGGUGAAAUGCGUAGAUAUCAAGAGGAACACCUGCGGCGAAGGCGGGUUGCUGGGCCGACACUGACGCUGAGGCGCGAAAGCCAGGGGAGCGAACGGG
rnacentral:rRNA from 1 species